CAGCCGCCGCGGUAAUACGGAGGGUGCAAGCGUUAAUCGGAAUUACUGGGCGUAAAGCGCACGCAGGCGGUCUGACAAGUCAGAUGUGAAAUCCCCGGGCUUAACCUGGGAACUGCAUUUGAAACUGUCAGGCUGGAGUCUUGUAGAGGGGGGUGAAAUUCCAGGUGUAGCGGUGAAAUGCGUAGAGAUCUGGAGGAAUACCGGUGGCGAAGGCGGCCCCCUGGACAAAGACUGACGCUCAGGUGCGAAAGCGUGGGGAGCAAACAGGAUUAGAUACCCCCGUGUCCCUGUCUCUUAUACC
rnacentral:rRNA from 1 species